rnacentral:rRNA from 1 species
GACGAACGCUGGCGGCGUGCUUAACACAUGCACGUCGAACGGAGUGGCGAACGGGUGAGUAUUACGUGAGUAACCUGCCCUCAACUGUGGGAUAAGCCUGGGAAACUGGGUCUAAUACUGCAUAGUUGGGGAUGGGCUUGCGGCCUAUCAGCUUUUGGGUGGGGUGAGGGCCUACCCAGGCGGGGACGGGUAGCCGGCCUGGGAGGGUGGUGUGCAACAUUGGGAUGGAGAUACGGCCCAGAAUCCUACGGGAGGAAGCAGUGGGGGAUAUUGCACAAUGGGCGCAAGCCUGAUGCAGGGACGCCGCGUGAGGGAUGAAGGCUUUCGGGUUGUAAACCUCUUUCGGUACAGAACGGGUAUGUGCAGAAGAAGCGCCGGCUAACUACGUGCCAGCAGCCGCGGUAAUUC